rnacentral:lncRNA from 1 species
GGCUUCCUGUGGUCAGGAGACUUCUGGCUGGAGGCUUGACCCCACUUUUCCUGAUGAAUGACCUUUAGAGGUGGCUCCAGCCCCAGGGCCUGACACGUGGCCUGGCUCAGAGUGAACUCUUGAGAAACGUUAGUACACUGAAAAACAAUGAAAAAAAAAAAAGAAUGAAGAAAGAAGAGUCAAGGCAGAUCAACCAGGAUCGACGCAUCUGUGUCCCUCAAGUUAAUGACAUUUGAUAAACAACUUCUUUGUCUGUUCCUUCCCUUUGUCUGUAGCCCAGGAGACACAGUGACAGAAGGACAAUGCCUGGGCCUGAGCUGGGGGCUGCAUUCCAUUGCUGCCUCUUCCUGGCACAACCUAUAAUUGUUCUAACCCAGCAGAACUUCCGUGUUUGCAUUUGUCUUAAUGGGAGUAAUAACAACAACUUCACAGUGCAAUAAAUAAAUAAUGGAUAUAAAGUGAGGUGCUUGUCACACGGCCAGAGAUAAGUAAAUUUUUGCUUCCUCUUGCACUUUGUCAAGGUUUAGUUUCUUGCUUGAAGGUAACAGAAUUCAACUUUAAGCAAACUUAAACAGCAGAGGGAAUUUAUAGGUAGAGUCCUAGGGUGUGUCAUAAAGUCCAGGGAGCCUCUGAAAGCCAGGUUCAGGAGGGACCAUGAGCUGCUCUGGAGCUGGAGCAGUAGGGACGCCUAGGCCUUCACUUAAGUGUGGUGGUGACUUGCAUUUGGUUUGACCAAGGAGAAUACUGACUGGUUCUUGAGUCGGGUGCACUCCCCCUCUUGGUCUGAUCAUGGUCAAAGGAGCAGGGUCUCUUAGAAUGAACAGGGAAUGAAAGCCAGAAGCACCUCUUUCAUGGGAGAAGUUGGUUAUGCUCAAAGAACAGGGGUAGGACAUAAACAGGUGGUCUGUUUUAGUUAUACUUUUCUGAGUCAGUUCUUCUACGAGAUUGUCCUGGAGUCACCCAGCUGGUGACAUUAGUUAUCUCCCUAGCAACGCUUUAUUCUUCACUUUGGGCACUUAAUGCCAUUGCUUGUAACUUGGUAUGUGUCUGUUCUUCUCCUCCCUAUGCCUCUGCAUCCCUCAAAUGUAUGUAUCUGUUCUUCUCCCCAUGCCUCUGCAUUCUUCAAAUGUAGGGGCCUUGUCUGAUUAUCUCCUUGUAUCUCCAUGAUAAGCAAAGUGACCAGCACAAAAUGUAGGGGCCUUGUCUGAUUAUCCCUUUGUAUCUCUAUAGUAAGCAAAGUGACCAGUACAUAAUGGGCUUGAUGACUGUGUGUGCUUGGCUGAGUAAGUGGUCAUAUGCAGACAGGAAUAGAGGAGUAAACGCUCCAAGAGAAACAUAAAGAAGCCCUACCCCUUAGUGUUUUACAACCCUGACCACUGGAGCCCCUAGCAUUAAAAAUAACUAAUCUAUUCAUUCAUCUUUUUCAUACAGGGUGGGAUCACAUGCCUACUAUGUGCUAGGUGCUGCCAGGCCAGGAUCUUGCUUCCUUGAUCUACAGACUAAGGUCUAGUCUGAAAGGGGUGUCCUUCAGGAGAUAGGUUAACAUCCAACACAUUGGAUGUGGUGAUUGAAUUCAACUUUCUUUCUACUUCCCCGAGUAAUUGAAUAAGUAUUUCUUACUUAACAGCAGUACUAGUAAUAGAAGAACUUGUUUUGGUCCAGCUUUUAAAAGACAAUUCAUUCCCUGUGUUUUACUCUGGCAUUUAGAUCAAUUAUGUUGUGUCAUUGCAAAUUGUACAAUUGCAUAGUUUUCCAAGGUUUGAGCCAAAUAUUUUUUAAAAAUUGCUGAUUUGAUAAUUGAAUGCCAGGAACUGAGGAGUCCUAGUAAUCCUAUUUCAUGAGACUUCAGAUGGCAGAUUUUUCUAAGGGGCUAUCAUUUGACAAUAAAUGAAUGUUUCAUUGGAUCUGUUGGAAUUGUUUUUCUUUGAAAGUUAAUUCAUGGGUUUAAGCCCCUGCUGCUUUCCCUCCACUUCAGACCCCAGAAGUUAUGUUGGAUUCGGUUUUUCCACUCCUGGGAAGAAGCACUCUCAAUUUUAAAGUCAAGGCAUUAUUUCUUCUUUUAAACACAGAAAGCGAAUGGUAAUUUACAUUUUUGCCACAAGUGAGAAUCAAUAGGAAUAAACUAAAUGUUGAUAAACUGACAGUAAAUUUUGUGUUAAAGUUAUUCUGUCACUAUUAAAACAACUUUGCACUGGAAAACAUAAAGUAUCCAAGCCUGCUUCUUUUUCGUCAGGUAAAUUGUGGGUAGUGCCAUUCUUUGGUCUGUAAGCCCACAGACUCAGACUACGAGAUCAAGUUUAAAAUGUGUCCAAACUCCAUAUAAUCUUCUCCCACUAUCCCCUCUCUUGUCCCAGUGAAGAGGAGGGUGUAUUACCACAUGCGUAAUAGAUGAGCAACCCAAGUCAUUGCUUUCUGCCUGGGAUGGAUGGAUGACCCAGGAGCUGAAUGCCAAGCCCUCAAAAAUAUUAUACCAUCAACAAUGGGACAAAUCAAAAUUGUCCACCACAUGAAAAGAUGAGGUGAGGAUCAGCAUUAUUUCCCUGGAAUUCCUGUCAAUGAUGCAUAAUCUGAAUAUAAUCCCAAGGAAACAUCAGA